rnacentral:rRNA from 1 species
AUUGAACGCUGGCGGAAUGCUUUACACAUGCAAGUCGAGCGGCAGCGCGGGGGCAACCCUGGCGGCGAGCGGCGAACGGGUGAGUAAUACAUCGGAACGUGUCCUUAAGGUGGGGAUAGCUCGGCGAAAGCCGGAUUAAUACCGCAUAAGCUCUGAGGAGGAAAGCGGGGGCUCCGUAAGGACCUCGCGCUGUUGGAGCGGCCGAUGUCGGAUUAGCUAGUUGGUGGGGAAAGGCCCACCAAGGCGACGAUCCGUAGCUGGUCUGAGAGGAUGAUCAGCCACACUGGAACUGAGACACGGUCCAGGACUCCUACGGGAGGCAGCAGUGGGGAAUUUGGACAAUGGGGGCAACCCUGAUCCAGCCAUUCCGCGUGAGUGAAGAAGGCCUGG